CUUCCUACGGGGCGCAGCAGUAGGGAAUCUUCCACAAUGGGCGAAAGCCUGAUGGAGCAACGCCGCGUGGGUGAAGAAGGUCUUCGGAUCGUAAAACCCUGUUGUUAGAGAAGAAAGUGCGUGAGAGUAACUGUUCACGUUUCGACGGUAUCUAACCAGAAAGCCACGGCUAACUACGUGCCAGCAGCCGCGGUAAUACGUAGGUGGCAAGCGUUAUUCGGUUUUAUUGGGCGUAAAGGGAACGCAGGCGGUCUUUUAAGUCUGAUGUGCAAGCCUUCGCCUUCACCGG
rnacentral:rRNA from 1 species